UUGAAACUGGUAGACAGAAUGAUUGCAUUUAAAGUAAAAAAAGGUUAGGGUUAGGGUUAUUUUUUUAAUGUUGAUUUUUGCACGCAACUACUUCUCCCCUGAACGAAGUGCAGGCCAAAAAUGGGAAAACCUGCCUGAUUGAACGACACUUCCGAUCCCAGCCCCCAGACUGACAUCACUUAUGGUUCCAGCCAGAUGACAUCACUUCCGCCUUUCGGCUUAUAAAGCCGCCAUCUUUCCUCCACCUGUCAGUCUUGAGAAACCGCCCAAUGAGGUCAAAUGUUUCCACCCCUUCAGUCCCAGAGCUUCUAAAGUGUGACUGGCCAGAAGGAGGUUUCACUUACUGCGGAGACGACCUGACCAAAGGAGCUCCAAGCCUGACAAACCAUCGCCAGAGCCAAAUUAAUCCGAGGCAACCCCACUACAUGGCAAUUACCUUUUUUGUUGUUUUCUUAUGCCAUUGAGUGUUGUGUUGUUAGUAAAUGGGGAGGGUCGUGUUGGCAUCCCAAAAUAUUCCUGAGUUGUCGACAUUUCUUCAUUUGGAUGACCACACCGUGCAGUAAAUGAAACUUGAUUUAUAAUGCAAUGGAGGCAAGCAAAAGAGAAAAUUGGAAAGAAGCGAUGACUUUUAGUUCAUAGAUAAUGUUUGGUUUAGGCAGGCAAAUAGACGUUGUUAUUAUCUGAAAAAACAUGGAAGUCUAGGAAGACAGGAGGAAUAAAAUACAGAGCAUUAGCUAUUGCAUUCACUUUUAGAGGCACAACUUAUAAUAGUCGACGAAAACUUCAGUAUACACUUUUCAAUAACCUUAGUCAUAUUUACAGUAUCACAAACAUUUAUGGUUAUUUUAAAAGAUUAUGGCUUAGGUGUACAAAACGAUUUGAUCAUGAUGACUCAUUUUCAGCACUAUUAAGCCUAAGGGCAUAUGUGCUUUAGUUGGGAGCUUAGGAAGCCGACUAUCCUCUGGAAAAUGUCCCCAGUAUCACUUUUAUCUUCUAGCAAUUACUGACUGCAGAUGCACAUUUUCUUUUUCUUUUCAUUUUUUUGUCCACUAGGGCAGCAAUUUAUAAAGCUUAAAGCUGCUGCCCCAUAGGUCCAGUGAUCGUAGCUGAAUUCCAGGUCUUUUCACAUUCUCGCUGUGUUCCAGUAUGGAGGAAUAUUUCAGAUAAAUAAACAUGCAAAUAAAUACAUUGUGAAAUGUGACAGCAAAAAAAAAAAUAAUAAUAAAAAAAUUGCAUGUGAACAUCUAUUCAUCCAUCCAUUUUUUAAAGUUUUUUAUCUAGAGCAGGGUCAUGAAGAAGUUGAAGCCUACCCAGGCAAGUACAGGGUGCAAGGAAGGAACAAUCCCUGGAACAGUG